rnacentral:rRNA from 1 species
UUUACCAGAAGUGGCUAGUCUAACCGCAAGGAGGACGGUCACCACGGUAGGAUUCAUGACUGGGGUGAAGUCGUAACAAGGUAGCCGUAUCGGAAGGUGCGGCUGGAUCACCUCCUUUCCAG